rnacentral:rRNA from 1 species
CACGUAGUUAGCCGUGGCUUUCUGAUUAGGUGCCGUCAAGAUGUGCACAGUUACUUACACAUUUGUUCUUCCCUAAUAACAGAGUUUUACGAGCCGAAACCCUUCAUCACUCACGCGGCGUUGCUCCGUCAGGCUUUCGCCCAUUGCGGAAGAUUCCCUACUGCUGCCUCCCGUAGGAGUCUGGACCGUGUCUCAGUUCCAGUGUGGCCGAUCACCCUCUCAGGUCGGCUACGUAUCGUCGCCUUGGUAAGCCGUUACCUUACCAACUAGCUAAUACGGCGCGGGUCCAUCUAUAAGUGAUAGCAAAACCAUCUUUCACUUUAGAACCAUGCGGUUCUAAAUGUUAUCCGGUAUUAGCUCCGGUUUCCCGAAGUUAUCCCAGUCUUAUAGGUAGGUUACCCACGUGUUACUCACCCGUCCGCCGCUAACUUCAAAGGAGCAAGCUCCUUAUCUGUUCGCUCGACUUGCAUGUAUUAGGCACGCCGCCAGCGUUCAUCCUGAGCCAGGAUCAAACUCU